rnacentral:rRNA from 1 species
UACGGAGGGUGCAAGCGUUUUCCGGAUUUACUGGGUUUAAAGGGUGCGUAGGUGGGUCUGUAAGUCAGUGGUGAAAUCUUCGAGCUUAACUCGGAAACUGCCAUUGAUACUAUAGGUCUUGAAUUAUCUGGAGGUGAGCGGAAUAUGUCAUGUAGCGGUGAAAUGCUUAGAUAUGACAUAGAACACCAAUUGCGAAGGCAGCUCACUACGGAUAUAUUGACACUGAGGCACGAAAGCGUGGGGAUCAAACAGG